GAUUAUCUUUAUUGAUUGAAUGGUAGCAUUGGGUUUGAUGUGAUAAAUAGAAAAUCAGAUUUACCAAAAAAAAAAAGAACAACACCAAAAAAAAAACACCAACCACAAACUUAAAGAUCUAUUCUUCUGACUUUUCAGUCUCGUUCAGUCUCGUUGAAAUCGCGUUCUUGAAUUAUUUCCAAAAUAUGUUAUACACGCGGA
rnacentral:lncRNA from 1 species